rnacentral:rRNA from 1 species
GCUUGCACUUCGCUGACGAGUGGCGGACGGGUGAGUAAUGCUUGGGAACUUGCCUUUGCGAGGGGGAUAACAGUUGGAAACGACUGCUAAUACCGCAUAAUGUCUACGGACCAAACGGGGCUUAGGCUCCGGCGCAAAGAGAGGCCCAAGUGAGAUUAGCUAGUUGGUAAGGUAAAGGCUUACCAAGGCAACGAUCUCUAGCUGUUCUGAGAGGAAGAUCAGCCACACUGGGACUGAGACACGGCCCAGACUCCUACGGGAGGCAGCAGUGGGGAAUAUUGCACAAUGGGGGAAACCCUGAUGCAGCCAUGCCGCGUGUGUGAAGAAGGCCUUCGGGUUGUAAAGCACUUUCAGUUGUGAGGAAAAGUUAGUAGUUAAUACCUGCUAGCCGUGACGUUAACAACAGAAGAAGCACCGGCUAACUCCGUGCCAGCAGCCGCGGUAAUACGGAGGGUGCGAGCGUUAAUCGGAAUUACUGGGCGUAAAGCGCACGCAGGCGGUUUGUUAAGCUAGAUGUGAAAGCCCCGGGCUCAACCUGGGAUGGUCAUUUAGAACUGGCAGACUAGAGUCUUGGAGAGGGGAGUGGAAUUCCAGGUG